rnacentral:rRNA from 1 species
GAUGAACGCUGGCGGCGUGCUUAAUACAUGCAAGUCGAGCGAACGGACGAGACGCUUGCUUCUCUGAUGUUAGCGGCGGACGGGUGAGUAACACGUGGAUAACCUCCUUAUAAGACUGGGAUAACUACGGGAAACCGUAUCUAAUACCGGAUAAUAUUCUGAACCGCAUGGUUCAAAAGUGAAAGACGGUCUUGCUGUAUCUAAUAGAUGGAUCCGCGCUGCAUUAACGAGUUGGUGGGGUAACGGCUUACCAGGGCAACGGUGCAUAGCCGACCUGGGAGGGUGUUCGGCGCCGCAGGGAGUGAGAGGCGGUCCAGACUCGGACGGAAGGCAGCGGCAGGGACUCUUGGGAAAUGGGCGAAAGCCUGACGGAGCAACGGAGGGUGGGUGAAGAAGGGCUGCGGGUGGUAAAACGCUGUUAUUGGGGAAGAACAUAUGUGUAUGUAACGGAGCACAUCUGAAGGGUACCGAAUCAGAAGGCCAGGCCAAAUUCCUG